UGAACGCUAGCGGCAGGCUUAAUACAUGCAAGUCGAGGGGCAUCAAGGUACACGAAAGUGUAUUGUUGGCGACCGGCGGACGGGUGAGUAAUAGGUAGGUAACCUACCUCAUACUGAGGCAUAGCUGGGAGAAAUUCCAGGUAAUUCCUCAUGAGGUUAUAUGACACAUGUGAUAUAAUCAAAGGUAUCGCAAGGUACUGGUAUGAGAUGGGCUUACUGACCAUUAGCUAGUUGGUGAGAUAAGAGCUCACCAAGGCGAAGAUGGUUAGGGGUUUUGAGAGAGAGAUCCCCCACAUUGGAACUGAGAUACGGUCCAGACUCCUACGGGAGGCAGCAGUAGGGAAUAUUGGGCAAUGGGUGGAAGCCUGACCCAGCCAUGCCGCGUGAAGGAAGACGGCCUUAUGGGUUGUAAACUUCUUUACUAUGCGACUAACUAGAUUUACGAGAUAAUUCUAUAGAAUGUAGCAUAGCAAAAAGCACCGGCUAACUCCGUG
rnacentral:rRNA from 1 species